rnacentral:rRNA from 1 species
UACAGAGGUCUCAAGCGUUGUUCGGAUUCAUUGGGCGUAAAGGGCGCGUAGGCGGCGCGGCAAGUCGGGUGUGAAAUCUCGGAGCUUAACUCCGAAACUGCAUUCGAUACUGCCGUGCUUGAGGACUGGAGAGGAGACUGGAAUUUACGGUGUAGCGGUGAAAUGCGUAGAUAUCGUGAGGAAGACCAGUGGCGAAGGCGGGUCUCUGGACAGUUCCUGACGCUGAGGCACGAAGGCCAGGGGAGCAAACGGG